CUGGAAAAGCCAUUAUCUCCGGGAGCCUGAAUUGCAGGGGGACAGCAGUAGCAGAGGAAGCCAAACCUUCCCGCAGCUGAAGAAUCUUUCUCUGCCCGUGGCUCCUCCCCCAGCCCUGGACCCCCAUCCCCUACUCUCUCCAGCCUCACUCACUCCCCGAUGAUGGAGAUGGAGUCAAAGAUUCUGAGUGACAAGUUGUGAACAGAAAAUCCUGAAAACUGAAUAAGCUUCAGCCCUAACAACACUUGGAUGCUCUCAGACUAAACUAGGCCAGGCUCUGGGCUAACCCUUUGUCAGCAGUUUCUCAAGG